AAGGGCACCACAAGAACGCGUGGAGCAUGUGGCUUAAUUUGACUCAACGCGGGAAAUCUUAUCAGGUCCAGACAUAUUGAGGAUUGACAGGCGAUAACAUAUAAUAAUAUUUUAUAUAUUAUUAUAUGUAUAAACAUGAUAGUCCUUUCAUGAUUAUAUGAUAGGUGGUGCAUGGCCGUUCUUAGUUCGUGGAGUGAUCUGUCUGCUUAAUUGCGUUUCAGAUUAUAUUAACAAUAAUAUAUAUUAUAAUAUUUUUAUAUAGUUCUGCUCCUAUUUUUAGUGAGAUUGUGAACAUAUAUUUUAUUAUAUAUAUAUUAUUUAUUAAAUGAAUGCAACGAACGUGACUAUAACCUUUUAUUGCUAUAUAUUUAUUUAAAAUAUAUUAAUUACUUUGGUAUUAAUAUAUAAUAUAGCUUAAAAUUAAAGGAACCGCUGUCUAUUUUAAGUGCUUAAAACAGAGUAAGAUUAUGGCAAUAACAGGUCUGUGAUGCCCUCAGAUGUUCUGGGCUGCACACGUGCUACAAUGAUCACACUAAUAAGUGUCUAAUUAAACAAAUAGUAUUUAUUUUAAUAUAUAUUAUAUAUUUUCUUAUAAUAUAUAUUAUUUAUAAAUCUAUAUAAAACCUAUUUCGAAAGUGAAUGGGUAAUCAUUUAAAAAUCGUGACAAAUUAUAUUUAUACUACAUUAUAUAAAUAUUAUUAUAUUAAUAGAAUAAUUAUAUUCAAUUAUCUCUUAUUAAUUAAUAAUAUUUGUAGUAUUAAUUAAUUCAUGGUGGGGAUAGUGUAUUGUUAAUUAUUACACUUGGCUUUAACUAGGAAUGCCUUGUACUGUUCCUUGGUUCAACAUACCAACAGGAAUACGUCCCUGCCCUUUGUACACACCGCCCGUCGCUCUUACCGAUGAAUUAUAUUAUAAGUCUAAGGGACUUAAUACAUAUAUUCUUUUUGAAUAUAUAUCAGGAAACUUAUACGCAUAAUGUGACUUAUAUACAUAAUGUGAUUUAAAGGAAAGAGAAGUCGUAACAAGGCAUCGUAGGUGAACCU
rnacentral:rRNA from 1 species